rnacentral:rRNA from 1 species
GUGGGGAAUUUUGGACAAUGGGCGCAAGCCUGAUCCAGCAAUGCCGCGUGCAGGAAGAAGGCCUUCGGGUUGUAAACUGCUUUUGUACGGAACGAAACGGUCCGGGUUAAUACCCUGGGCUAAUGAUGGUACCGUAAGAAUAAGCACCGGCUAACUACGUGCCAGCAGCCGCGGUAAUACGUAGGGUGCAAGCGUUAAUCGGAAUUACUGGGCGUAAAGCGUGCGCAGGCGGUUUUGUAAGACAGGCGUGAAAUCCCCGGGCUCAACCUGGGAAUUGCGCUUGUGACUGCAAGGCUGGAGUGCGGCAGAGGGGGAUGGAAUUCCGCGUGAAGCAGUGAAAUGCGUAGAUAUGCGGAGGAACACCGAUGGCGAAGGCAAUCCCCUGGGCCUGCACUGACGCUCAUGCACGAAAGCGUGGGGAGCAAACAGGAUUAGAAACCCCAGUAGUCC